CUAUCUUUCUGUCUACGCCAAACCCACCUUUGAUGUUUGUUGCCAAAAAAGCUCUAUUUUGGUCUCAUCUGAACAUAUAACCUGGUCCCAUUGAAAGUACCAGUAACAUUUGGCAAACUGUAGGCACUUUAGUUUGUUGUUGAUUGAGGCUUUUUUUCUGGCAACCCUCCCAAACAACUUGUGGUGAUGUAGGUGGCAUCUGAUGUUUGGCAUCUGAUUUUGUAGAUCUAAAGAGAGUGGCUUGGAUAUUUUAUGAAAAAAGAUGCAAUCUUUUGUGAUAUUCACAGGCAGAAUACAGUGUUAUCAUUCACAAAUGACGUCUUCACCCAUUUUUGUUUCUCUUUUAUGUAGCAAGUGGGCAAGUAGUAAUAGUUUGGUGCCUACUCCCUCUGCCGUUACCCAGUUAGUCUCUCUCUGUCACACCGCAAUACGUCACUAAUUGGGCAAUGGGUUGCGAUUGAUUAGGCUACCUGACAUAUUACCCACAGGCUUAUGUAUAGGCACCCGGGGUCCUAAAGCCGGUAGCUCGUCAACACCACUGGUUCUGGGAUUGUGUAGCAGAGUCACGGGUGCUGCGUGAAAUAAACAGGAGGGCAGACGCUGGCAGAGCCGCUGUGUUUUGAUGUACGUGUGUGGGCGUGACGCCGUGUUGUGUGCAAAAAGGUACGUUAUUGAACGUAUUCGUGGUAUUCUGUUUGUAGUAUAAUACAGACAAGUCAUGAUGUACUCUUUAUGUAUCCUUCACCAGUGUCUGCUGGGCACUGUUACCAUAGCAGAGAGGGCAGUUAUUCUCCAGAAGCCAUCAGCCACAGUGUAGUAGCCAUCUUGAAAAGGUAUGUGUUAAACCCUGAUACGUGUACUGUGUUGCGUACCAGCAGGCCAUAGCGGCCAUUCAUUUUGCGCUGACAAGUGACGACACUAAUGUAGGCUGGCUGACUAACACUUUGCCCUGUAUUGCUGUUUUUAAUUGAUGUAAUGCCAUCACCUCUCCCAUGUGUGCUGCUUUUAAGGCUGUGGGAUCUUAACAGUGUUUGUUUUAUAUGUUUGCAGCGUUAGACCCUCGCAGCUACCCAGGGCUGCUAGUUGCUGUUCUUUUAAUGUGUAUUUGAUGCAUUGGUGCCGCGUAUAGUUUGUUUACUUUUUUUUUGUUCCUCUAGCCUAUCGGCCUAAGUAGCUUGUGUAGGUACUACCUAUUUAAUGUGAGCCGCAGGCUAGAGUGGAUUUAUUUUGUUUGUUUUUCUUUUUUACUGUACUUCCAGUUCGUGUGUCUCCCUCCCCCCUCCACAGCUAAUAGCCUCGGUGCUUAUAAGGCCCAUUAGUACCUGACCUUGGAUAGCUGGUCUCUGUAGUUUUUCUCACUCUAGUAGCCUACAGAGAUUGCAGUGUGCAUGUAGUUUGAACUCUUAAUUGCCGUGUCACAUAUCACAGAGUGUCUUGGAUAUUGUAGUGCAUUUUCCCUGAAUCUAAAACACGUGUUAUUUAGUGCACACAAGACCACGUGUGUUAGAGACCUGGCCUGACAUCAGUUCUCCUAGUGGCCCAGUACCGAGGUUCCCCAGUCCCCCUAUUGUGUCUAUGUAUUUUUUUGUAUUAUAUCUGGUGACCAACCAACGCUACUCGUGUCUACUAUUUAUUAAUAAAGACUAUUUUUAUACUUUCACCAAAAA